GCCAGAAUGGCAUAGUGGUUUGAAUGUCAGACCAGGAAUUGGAAAGACCAGUGUUCAAAUCCCUGCUCAGCCA